AAUAGAUACCCGGUAGUCCAUGCCGUAAACGUUGGGAACUAGAUGUGGGGACCAUUCCACGGGUCUCCGUGUCGCAGCUAACGCAUUAAGUUCCCCGCCUGGGGAGUACGGCCGCAAGGCUAAAACUCAAAGGAAUUGACGGGGGCCCGCACAAGCGGCGGAGCAUGCGGAUUAAUUCGAUGCAACGCGAAGAACCUUACCAAGGCUUGACAUAUACCGGAAAGGUCUGGAAACAGUCCCCCCGCAAGGUCGGUAUACAGGUGGUGCAUGGUUGUCGUCAGCUCGUGUCGUGAGAUGUUGGGUUAAGUCCCGCAACGAGCGCAACCCUCGUCUUAUGUUGCCAGCGGUUCGGCCGGGGACUCAUAAGAGACUGCCGGGGUCAACUCGGAGGAAGGUGGGGAUGAGGUCAAAUCAUCAUGCCCCUUAUGUCUUGAGCUUCACGCAUGCUACAAUGGCCGGUACAAAGGGCUGCAAUACCGCGAGGUGGAGCGAAUCCCAAAAGCCGGUCUCAGUUCGGAUUGAGGUCUGCAACUCGACCCCAUGAA
rnacentral:rRNA from 1 species